AUUGAACGCUGGCGGCAGGCUUAACACAUGCAAGUCGAGCGGGGUGAUGGUGCUUGCACUAUCACUUAGCGGCGGACGGGUGAGUAAUGCUUCGGAAUCUGCCUAUUAGUGGGGGACAACAUCUCGAAAGGGAUGCUAAUACCGCAUACGUCCUACGGGAGAAAGCAGGGGAUCACUUGUGACCUUGCGCUAAUAGAUGAGCCUAAGUCGGAUUAGCUAGUUGGUGGGGUAAAGGCCUACCAAGGCGACGAUCUGUAGCGGGUCUGAGAGGAUGAUCCGCCACACUGGGACUGAGACACGGCCCAGACUCCUACGGGAGGCAGCAGUGGGGAAUAUUGGACAAUGGGGGGAACCCUGAUCCAGCCAUGCCGCGUGUGUGAAGAAGGCCUUAUGGUUGUAAAGCACUUUAAGCGAGGAGGAGGCUCUUAAGGUUAAUACCCUUGAUGAGUGGACGUUACUCGCAGAAUAAGCACCGGCUAACUCUGUGCCAGCAGCCGCCGUAAAAC
rnacentral:rRNA from 1 species